GUGUCAGCAGCCGCGGUAAUACCUGCAGCCCAAGUGGUGGCCGUUAUUAUUGGGUCUAAAACGUCCGUAGCCGGUUUCGUAAAUGCCUAGGUAAAUCGUACGGCUUAACCGUACGAAUUCUGGGUAGACUGCGAAACUUGAGAUCGGGAGAGGCUAGAGGUACUCCUGGGGUAGAGGUGAAAUUCUGUAAUCCUAGGGGGACCACCAGUGGCGAAGGCGUCUAGCUAGAACGAGUUUGACGGUGAGGGACGAAGCCCUGGGGCGCAAACGGGAUUAGAUACCCUGGUAGUCC
rnacentral:rRNA from 1 species